rnacentral:ncRNA from 1 species
GAUAGAACAAUGUAGGUAAGGGAAGUCGGCAAACUAGAUCCGUAACUUCGGGAAAAGGAUUGGCUCUAGGGGCUGGGUCGGUCGGGCUGAGGUACGAAGCGGGGCGCGGCGCUGUACCGGACUGGGCGAACGACGGCCUCCCUCGCGGGGGGCUGGCGUGAGCCUGGACCUGUGUCGGCGUCUUCCCGUGGAAUGCCGCAGCUAACGCGGGCCUCGCGGCCCGCUUCGGCCGGCGUCGAACAGCCGACUUAGAACUGGUACGGACCGGGGGAAUCCGACUGUUUAAUUAAAACAAAGCUUUGCGAUGGCCGUCAGCCGGUGUUGACGCAAUGUGAUUUCUGCCCAGUGCUCUGAAUGUCAAAGUGAAGAAAUUCAACCAAGCGCGGGUAAACGGCGGGAGUAACUAUGACUCUCUUAAACCUUAUUCUAUUUGAAUAAGGUUCUGAAAACUUCUAGAGCUACAUAAACGCCAGCACCCUGUGGUUGCCUGUGGCACUUGAAAAAGGACCAUAUUCGAAAAAGGACCGCUUCUGCAAGCGAAAUUACCAGAGAACUAGAAAAACUCAGACACAUCGUUGCACAGUAGAAGAAUUUUCACCAGAAAAACGAAGAUGCAACGAAAUCCUCCGCAAAAUAUGCAAGAGGAUCGUCUUAAAUUCAUUUACAGAGGACCCGCUCACAUAGCCUGCGCGCUAUGCGAUGCAGUCCUCGGUACCGACGGCCGCGCCUCGUACCACCUGCUGAGCUUCCACCAAGCCAAAGCAUCAGGAUACGUGUGCGGUAAGUGCGAUCGCUCUUUCUUGCGACUCACUCAGGUCUCUGUUCAUUUCAACAAAUGCACGGUGAGCAAACCCAAUGUCACAGCAACAGUGAAUGCAGAGCCCAGUGGGGAAUGCUGUCCGAUCUGCAAGAAAACCUUCCAAACGGUUAGAGGGCUUCACGUCCAUCAACGCCGUCUACACCCAGUGGAAUUCCACACUACACUGGAGCAAGUCGAGGAACCGUCUAAAAGAAGACCUUACAACUCAGACGAACUGUUCCUCCUUGCGAAGGCUGAGAUGGAUAUAGAACAAAAGACGAGAAAGGUCAACCAACAACUCUAUGACCUGCACGUCGUAGAUCGAACAGCGGAGCAAAUUAGAGUGAUGCGGAAGUCCCAGAGGUAUAGAUCGCUCCUCCAGAAGUUCCGAGAGGAGAGUCAAGGAGAAGAAGAUCAGGCGGCGGAGUCUACCUCACUCCCAGCCAAUAACUCUGAAACGGAACACCGGAACUGGAUGGAGGAGCUAGAUCUCCACUUGGAGAAAUCAAUCGAAGAACAUAAUGAUAAUCCAAGUGUCUGCGCGGUU